AUACAGGGGGUGCGAGCGUUAAUCGGAAUUACUGGGCGUAAAGAGUACGUAGGCGGUUGCUUAAGUCAGAUGUGAAAGCCCCGGGCUCAACCUGGGAACUGCAUUUGAAACUGAGUGACUAGAGUUUAAGAGAGGGGAGUAGAAUUCCGGGUGUAGCGGUGAAAUGCGUAGAGAUCCGGAGGAAUACCAGUGGCGAAGGCGGCUCCCUGGCUUAAAACUGACGCUGCGGUACGAAAGCGUGGGUAGCAAACAGGAUUAGAAACCCCAGUAGUCC
rnacentral:rRNA from 1 species